rnacentral:misc_RNA from 1 species
GAACUGCGAAACGUAGUGUGAAUUGCAGAAUUCCGUGAACCAUCGAAUCUUUGAACGCAGAUUGCGCCCAAGGUUUCGGCCAAGGGCACGUUUCGCUCAGUGUCGGCACAACCCUUCACUCACUUCUGUGGGUGAGAUCUGGUAUUCCCUCUGCUCUGCUGAGGGUCUGCCGAAUGGCAUUGCCGGGUUCCUGAUAACCUGACGGCUUUGUCGAGCAAUUAUUUGCCGACUGUUGUCAAUAUCAGAGAUCCGAGCUACCUUUACUUAAUCUUCGACCUGAGCUGAAGCGAGGCUACCCGCUGAACUUAA